AGUGAACGCUGGCGGUAGGCCUAACACAUGCAAGUCGAACGGCAGCACAGUAAGAGCUUGCUCUUACGGGUGGCGAGUGGCGGACGGGUGAGGAAUACAUCGGAAUCUACUUUUUCGUGGGGGAUAACGUAGGGAAACUUACGCUAAUACCGCAUACGACCUACGGGUGAAAGCAGGGGAUCUUCGGACCUUGCGCGAUUGAAUGAGCCGAUGUCGGAUUAGCUAGUUGGCGGGGUAAAGGCCCACCAAGGCGACGAUCCGUAGCUGGUCUGAGAGGAUGAUCGGCCAAACUGGAACUGAGACACGGUCCAGACUCCUACGGGAGGCAGCAGUGGGGAAUAUUGGACAAUGGGCGCAAGCCUGAUCCAGCCAUACCGCGUGGGUGAAGAAGGCCUUCGGGUUGUAAAGCCCUUUUGUUGGGAAAGAAAAGCAGCAGGUUAAUACCCCGCUGUUCUGACGGUACCCAAAGAAUAAGCACCGGCUAACUUCGU
rnacentral:rRNA from 1 species